rnacentral:misc_RNA from 1 species
GAUGAAGAACGUAGCGAAAUGCGAUAAGUAAUGUGAAUUGCAGAAUUCAGUGAAUCAUCGAAUCUUUGAACGCACAUUGCGCCCCCUGGUAUUCCGGGGGGCAUGCCUGUCCGAGCGCCAUUACAACCCUCAAGCUCAGCUUGGUGUUGGGCCCCGCCGCCCCGGCGGGCCCUAAAGUCAGUGGCGGUGCCGUCCGGCUCCGAGCGUAGUAAUUCUUCUCGCUCUGGAGGUCCGGUCGUGUGCUCGCCAGCAACCCCCAAUUUUUUCAGGUUGACCUCGGAUCAGGUAGGGAUACCCGCUGAACUUAAGCAUAUCAAUAAGCGGAGGA